rnacentral:ncRNA from 1 species
ACAUUCCGACAGGGGAGCGCCACAGCGCUGAGAGUGCGGACACGUCGUAGCCCUACGACGCCGCAGACCCUUGAACCUCGCCCGGGUCAUUCCGGGUAGGAAGUUCGGUCGUCACUCAUG